AUUGAACGCUGGCGGCAGGCCUAACACAUGCAAGUCGAACGGUAACAGGAAGAAGCUUGCUUCUUUGCUGACGAGUGGCGGACGGGUGAGUAAUGUCUGGGAAACUGCCUGAUUGCGGGGGAUAACUACUGGAAACGGUAGCUAAUACCGCAUAACGUCGCAAGACGAAAAAGGGGGACCUUUUGGCCUCUUGCCAUCUUAUGUGCCCAGAUGGGAUUAGCUAGUAGGUGGGGUAACGGCUCACCUAGGCGACGAUCCCUAGCUGGUCUGAGAGGAUGACCAGCCACACUGGAACUGAGACACGGUCCAGACUCCUACGGGAGGCAGCAGUGGGGAAUAUUGGACAAUGGGCGCAAGCCUGAUGCAGCCAUGCCGCGUGUAUGAAGAAGGCCUUCGGGUUGUAAAGUACUUUCAGCGGGGAGGAAGGGAGUAAAGUUAAUACCUUUGCUCAUUGACGUUACCCGCAGAAGAAGCACCGGCUAACUCCGUG
rnacentral:rRNA from 1 species